rnacentral:pre_miRNA from 1 species
UAGCAACCGCGUAGGAAUUGAUGGAACAGCUCACAAUGAGGAGGCGACAACAUAGAGGAAAGGUGCCGAUGACAGCGCAGGGUGAAAUGGAGAGCGUCGAGGCGGUGGUCCCAAAACAUGCAGGUACCAUGCGCGUAGGACACUAGGACUGUCCAUGUGGACCAUCAUCACAUUUGUAGUAAUGUUUUUUGGCCAAUUUUAUUUCUUUAUGAGCCAAAUUAAUAAGAUUUUUUUUUGCAAGUUGGAUGAAACUCUCCUUUUGCCUAGAAGAUGAAUUCCGUGAUACUGUUGCCAGCCAUCUUGAGACUGGCAGCAUUAGCAAGCGCAUAUGGAU